GGUGGAAAUCCUGGAUCUCUCCAUUCAGUCAACAGGGCGCACUGACUCAUGUUCCAUGGUGAGGGUCCUAUGUUCAUGUUGACGGUCUGCGUCGCUGCAGCUCCCCAGCAACCGCCCCUGCCUUCACCAGGCAGCCCCUGCAUGCCUCUGCUGGCCCUGCGCGGGGUCAGGCGCGCCCCGCAGCCAGCUGUGUGGAGAACCUCUGGAAAAAGCUAUUGAAUUUCUUCAAAGAACACGUAUCACUUGUAUAAUCAGAAAAACCUAAAGACGGAACUAGAGAUUUUAAGUGAUAAAUCAUCACUUUACACAGUAUGUAUUUGAUGUUUCUCAAGGUAGUUAACUCCCCAAUUGCAUAAAAAUAAGAUUUAAUUUCCAC
rnacentral:lncRNA from 1 species